UACGUAGGGGGCUAGCGUUGUCCGGAUUUAUUGGGCGUAAAGAGCGUGUAGGCGGCCUGGUAGGUCUGCUGUGAAAACUCGAGGCUCAACCUCGAGAUGUCGGCGGAAACCAUCUGGCUAGAGUCCGGAAGAGGAGAGUGGAAUUCCUGGUGUAGCGGUGAAAUGCGCAGAGUAUCAGGAAGAACACCUAUGGCGAAGGCAGCUCUCUGGGACGGUACUGACGCUGAGACGCGAAAGCGUGGGGAGCGAACAGG
rnacentral:rRNA from 1 species